UAACCUUGAUUUAAAUUAGGGUAAUAAAACUGGUUCUCAUAUAUAUAACAUUUCGAAUACACAGAACGUAAACACAUUUUAUGCACACAUAGACGACAAUUGGGCAUGGAUAUAAUCUCUUUUGAAGAAGCUAGCGGCACUAAAAGUGAACCUGGCUGAUCAGGGAAUCUCUACUCGAUGAACACUAGCAGCCCACAUGCUUAAGCAGGGAUUUCAAUGGUAGCUAGGCACCAUAGAUUCAAAAGAAGAUUUCACAGCUCACAAGUCUAUCUGUCCUGAAUUAUACUAGUGGCGAAAGGAAUUUUGCCCUGAAAUCCUUUUCUUUGGAUCCAGCUCAACAAGUACGUAACUACGAAUGAACAUCGUUUCUCCUUUCCGAAAGCCUCAUUCGGUCCAGAGCACAGAACACAAACCUUUCACCAAAAGAAGAAAUACCUUGCCUUUCACGAAAGAAAUGAUUGCAACCCAUCAAAGAGAACAAGCUGUAUCCAUCAAGUUAAACGGAUUCUCAUUCGAGAACACCCCAUUCCCAUAAAAAAGAGAGCCAGGGAGAGAGAAGAACCUUUAUGCCUUAUGUUUCCUUAGUUUUUAAAAUAAAUAAAUAAAAAAACACGCAAACUUCUUUAGACGUUAAUUUACACA